rnacentral:rRNA from 1 species
CGCUCUCUGGAGGCUAAGAUGUCAUUAGUAUUUACAUAUAGAGAGUCGGACCUGCCCAGUGACAUAUUGUUAAACGGCCGCGGUACUCUGACCGUGCAAAGGUAGCAUAAUCAUUUGCCUUUUAAUUGAAGGCUUGUAUGAAUGGUUUGACGAAAACUAAGCUGUCUCUUCUUAAAUAUAUAAAAAUUAAUUUAUAGGUGAAGAAGCCUAUAUUUAAUUGAGGGACAAGAAGACCCCGUUGAGCUUUAGUGAUUGAGUAAAAGCUUAUUUAAUCGAAAAUUAAGAUUUUUAUUACAUUAACUGGAAAUAUCUUUUAUUAAAAAUCUUUAGUUGGGGCGACUAAGGAACAUAAAAAGCUUCCUUUAUAAUGAAGUUUACAGAAAACGAUCUGUUAUACAUGAUCCAAUAUUUAUUGAUCAAAGGAAAAAGUUACCACGGGGAUAACAGCGUAAUCUUUCCAAAGAGUUCUUAUCGAAGGGAGGGUUUGCGACCUCGAUGUUGGAUUAAGAUAUCCUAGAGAUGUAGAAGUUUCUAAUGGUUAGUCUGUUCGACUAUUAAAAUCUU